AUACGUAGGGGGCGAGCGUUGUCCGGAAUUAUUGGGCGUAAAGCGCAUGUAGGCGGUUUGGUAAGUCGGUCGUGAAAAUGCGGUGCUUAACGCCGUAUGGCGAUUGAAACUGCUGAACUUGAGUGCAGGAGAGGAAAGGGGAACUCCCAGUGUAGCGGUGAAAUGCGUAGAUAUUGGGAAGAACACCGGUGGCGAAGGCGCCUUUCUGGACUGUGUCUGACGCUCAGAUGCGAAAGCCAGGGUAGCGAACGGGAUUAGAUACCCCGGUAGUCCUGGCCGUAAACGAUGGGUACUAGGUGUGGGAGGUAUCGACUCCUUCCGUGCCGGAGUUAACGCAAUAAGUACCCCGCCUGGGGAGUACGGCCGCAAGGCUUAAACUCAAAUGAAUUGGCGGGG
rnacentral:rRNA from 1 species